CCGAGUGAGGGCCUCCGGGUCCGACCUCCAACCCAUUGUUGACCGACACCUGUUGCCUCGGGGGCGACCCGGACGCCGACGCGUCGGGCCCCCCGAUGGACCCUUUCAAACACUGUGUCUGUACGUCGGAGUACUUGAUAAAUCAAUUA
rnacentral:misc_RNA from 1 species